ACAAGAACAACAAAACAAAAAUACUCAAUAUGCUUCUGUACUCUGAACAGCGCACAGCCUCAGCCUCCAGGCUGUGUGUGUGAGUGAGAGAGAGUAGUAGUCGCCUGUGGAAUAAAAAGAAAAUAACUCCAAAUGGAUCUAACAAUUACAGCACUACAAGUGGACUUGGGGUAGUGUGGGGGGCGGGGAUAUUAUUCCCCAAAGCAGUGGAGCUCUUCUUGCCGUUUUUGUACAGCCUUAGCUGCAAGGAUACCAAAAGCGCAGUGUAUCCACAACUGACCCUUGGCAUCCUUCUGAAGUCCAACAAUAUUCUGUGAAGGAUGCACAGCAGACUGCAGGAAAGGCCCUUCCCCACAGGCAGUGGUUGUUAAGUUUGAGAUCAGCAGCAGUGACAAGGAGCUGGACAAGCCAGUCGCAGCUCCCUGAACAGCAAAGCUGGGUGCAGGAUUGACAGGUGAGAUCCAAAUGAUCUGGAGCAGAUAGGGGAGAAGGCACAAAUGUAAGGUGCGACUCCAUUUGGAAGCCUGUUCUGGCCUCCUCACCUCAAAAAUAAUACUGUUGAGUUGGAAGGGCAACCAAAAUGAUCUAGGGGACGGAGGGACUCCCAAAAAGGCUGCAGUGCUUGGACGAUUUUAGUUUAGAGAAGAGGCAGCAUGAUCAAAGUUUGUAAAAAUUGUACAUGGCAUGGAGAAACUGGAUAGAGAAAAGUUUUUCUCUCUCCCUCUCUCAAAACUCAUGGACCUCCAAUGAAGCUGAAUUUGGGAGAGAUUAAAGAAAGUGCUUCUUUAUACCAGCACGCAGUUCAAUUACGGAACUCACUCCCACAGGAGGCUGGGAUGACCACCAAUUUAGGUGGCUUUAGAAGAGGAUUAGACAGAUUUCCUGGUGAAGGAGACUCUCAAUGGCUAUUAGCCGUAAUGGCUAUAAUCUGCCUCCACAGCUGGAGGCAGCAAUACUUCUGAACACCAGCUGCUGGAGACCACAGGAAGGCUGAGUGCUCUUGUGCUCCAUUCCAGCUUGAAAGGUCUCCACAGGCAUCUGGUUGGCCGUGGUGAGACCAAGAUGCUGGACUUAGAUGGGCCAUUGGCCUGAGCAAGAUAAGACUGGAUAGAAUUAUGAACAUUAUUUGGACUGAUUUGUGGAUAUUAACGCAGUAGCAAGAAGAUGAUCGGAAUCCCCUUUCGGAACUUGAAAUAUGGGUCCCCUCAACAAAAAUUUAAAAUUCAGUUUUGUAAUUCGGAAUUUAUGUCAUGUGAUGUGAUUUGAUUUGAUUGGUCGGUUAAUAAAAAUUAUUUUUUAAAAAAAUAAUAGAUGGGCCAUUGGCCUGAUCCAGCAGGCUCUUCUUAGGUUCCUAUGAAGGGAG